rnacentral:rRNA from 1 species
CCCUUAGAUGUUCUGGGCCGCACGCGCGCUACACUGACGAAUGCAACGAGCUUAUAACCUUGGCCGAAAGGUCUGGGUAAUCUCCAAAUUUCGUCGUGAUGGGGAUAGAUUAUUGCAAUUAUUAAUCUUCAACGAGGAAUGCCUAGUAAGCGCAAGUCAUCAGCUUGCGUUGAUUACGUCCCUGCCCUUUGUACACACCGCCCGUCGCUCCUACCGAUUGAAUGGUCCAGUGAAGCGCUCGGACCGCGGCCUCUUGACGGUUCGCUGUCGAUUGGCUGUGGGAAGUUCGUUAAACCUUAUCAUUUAGAGGAAGGAGAAGUCGUAACA